rnacentral:sRNA from 1 species
GAAGCAGGACCUAGGUGGCGGCGGUGGUACCGGCUGCAAUGGUGUCCAAUCCCGUUCAUGGCCUGCCCUUUCUUCCGGGCACGUCCUUUAAGGACUCUACGCCUUCCAUAGAAGCCAGACGCUGGGCUACAGGAAUGGCUAUGCAAUUGUUCGACGUCCAACAGUUGGGAUAGGCGGAGACCGGCUCCAGUUCAACCAGCUGUCCCAGGCUGAGCUGGAUGAGUUGGCCAGUAAGGCACCAGUCUUAACUUAUGGCCAACCUAAACAAGCCCCACCUGCGGAUUUUAUUCCUGCGCAUGUGGCCUUUGACAAAAAGGUACUGAAAUUUGAUGCCUAUUUCCAAGAAGAUGUUCCUAUGUCAACUGAGGAACAGUAUAGGAUCCGUCAAGUGAACAUUUACUAUUAUCUAGAAGAUGACAGCAUGUCUGUCAUAGAGCCUGUUGUAGAAAAUUCUGGAAUCCCUCAAGGUAUUUUUAGAAAGCCAAGGAAUUGAAUUAAAUCCACCAGAGAAGAUGGCUCUUGAUCCUUACACUGAACUCCGAAAACAGCCUCUUCGUAAGUAUGUCACCCCAUCAGACUUUGAUCAACUCAAGCAAUUUCUCACCUUUGACAAACAGGUCCUUCGAUUCUAUGCGAUCUGGGAUGAUACAGACAGCAUGUAUGGUGAAUGUCGGACCUACAUCAUUCAUUACUAUCUUAUGGAUGAUACAGUGGAAAUUCGAGAGGUCCACGAACGGAAUGACGGGAGAGAUCCUUUCCCACUCCUAAUGAACCGCCAGCGUAUGCCCAAAGUUUUGGUGGAAAAUGCAAAGAACUUCCCUCAGUGUGUGCUAGAAAUCUCUGACCAAGAAGUGUUGGAAUGGUAUACUGCUAAAGACUUCAUUGUUGGGAAAUCACUCACUAUGCUUGGGAGAACUUUCUUCAUUUAUGAUUGUGAUCCAUUUACUCGACGGUAUUACAAAGAGAAGUUUGGAAUCACUAAUUUACCACGUAUUGAUGUGAGCAAGCAGGAACUACCUCCGGUAAAACAGGAGUUGCCUCCUUAUAACGGUUUUGGACUAGUGGAAGAUUCUGCUCAGAAUUGUUUUGCUCUCAUUCCAAAAGCUCCAAAAAAAGAUGUUAUUAAAAUGCUGGUGAAUGAUAACAAGGUGCUUCGUUAUUUGGCUGUACUGGAAUCCCCCAUCCCAGAAGACAAAGACCGCAAAUUUGUCUUCUCUUACUUUCUAGCUACCGACAUGAUCAGUAUCUUUGAGCCUCCUGUUCGCAAUUCUGGUAUCAUUGGGGGCAAGUACCUUGGCAGGACUAAAGUUGUUAAACCAUACUCUACAGUGGACAACCCUAUCUACUAUGGCCCCAGUGACUUCUUCAUUGGUGCUGUGAUUGAGGUGUUUGGUCACCGGUUCAUCAUCCUUGAUACAGACGAGUAUGUUUUGAAAUACAUGGAGAGCAACGCUGCCCAGUAUUCACCAGAAGCACUCGCAUCAAUUCAGAACCAUGUCCGAAAGCGAGAAGCACCUGCUCCAGAAUCAGAAAGCAAGCAAACUGAAAAGGAUCCAGGCGUGCAGGAAUUGGAAGCAUUAAUAGACACAAUUCAGAAGCAACUGAAAGAUCACUCAUGCAAAGACAACAUUCAUGAGGCAUUUCAAAUUUAUGACAAGGAAGCUUCAGGAUAUGUGGACAGAGACAUGUUCUUUAAAAUCUGUGAAUCGCUUAACGUCCCAGUGGAUGACUCCUUGGUUAAGGAGUUAAUCAGGAUGUGCUCUCAUGGAGAAGGCAAGAUUAACUACUAUAACUUUGUUCGUGCUUUCUCAAACUGACCUGCUGAUGAGAACAUGCAAGACAAUUUUUGAUAUUGGAACUAUGCUUUGAAAUACACCUUACACUCUUCAUAGAGGCA